rnacentral:rRNA from 1 species
AUUGAACGCUGGCGGCAGGCCUAACACAUGCAAGUCGAGCGAGCGGCGGACGGGUGAGUAAUGUCUGGGAAACUGCCUGAUGGAGGGGGAUAACUACUGGAAACGGUAGCUAAUCCCGCAUACCAUCAGAUGUGCCCAGCUGGGAUUAGCUAGUAGGUGGGGUAAUGGCUCACCUAGGCGACGAUCUGUAGCGGGUCUGAGAGGAUGAUCCGACACACUGGGACUGAGACACGGCCCAGACUCCUACGGGAGGCAGCAGGGGGGAAGAUUGGACAAUGGGGGGAACCCUGAUCCAGCCAUGCCGCGUGUGUGAAGAAGGCCUUAUGGUUGUAAAGCACUUUAAGCGAGGAGGCGUUACUCGCAGAAUAAGCACCGGCUAACUCCGUGCCAGCAGCCGCGGUAAUAC